rnacentral:rRNA from 1 species
UGGGGAAUUUUCCGCAAUGGGCGAAAGCCUGACGGAGCAAUACCGCGUGAGGGAGGAAGGCUUUUGGGUUGUAAACCUCUUUUCUUAGGGAAGAAGAAAGUGACGGUACCUAAGGAAUCAGCAUCGGCUAACUCCGUGCCAGCAGCCGCGGUAAUACGGAGGAUGCAAGCGUUAUCCGGAAUUAUUGGGCGUAAAGCGUCCGCAGGUGGUACUUCAAGUCUGUUGUUAAAGCCCAGGGCUCAACUCUGGAUCAGCAGUGGAAACUGAAAGGCUAGAGUACGGUAGGGGUAGAGGGAAUUCCCAGUGUAGCGGUGAAAUGCGUAGAUAUUGGGAAGAACACCAGUGGCGAAGGCGCUCUGCUGGGCCGUAACUGACACUCAUGGACGAAAGCUAGGGGAGCGAAAGGGAUUAGAUACCCCCGUAGUCC